AUGUCGAACGAUGUCAACACUUCACUCGCCGUCGCGUUUGUGGCCUAGCAACACAAGCAGCGACCUCGAGUUUACAGCGUCCGCACACCCGCCAUUUAAGAGCGCGGCACAGGACUUCACCAAAUUCCACCCGAGCUGCGUCAGCAGCUUUGUUGCUAGGGGAUCUGAAGUGCCUGCUAGCUGCUAGCUAAUGUAAACAACACAGGACCGUCGGAAGCUUCGGAGAAAGCACAUGCAGCUCCCAGGAAGUCGAUGAGAGUCACAGCAGAGGUGGGAACGCCGUAGUCCGGCCAGCUGAGAUACUGGAAGUGACUAACCUGUCUCUGUUCACAUGUCUGGACACAAAAAAGAGUAAACAAAAAAAAAGGUUAUUCUACACACAUUAUUGAUGGAUUUUAAACAGCCAUUUCACACAUUUAUAGAGGAUAUUUUUAAGAGGAAGUGACUAAUGUCAAACAAGUAGCAAACACCUCGUCUCUGCAGAAUACGAUUUUUGGAUGUAUUUGUUAUGACUUCACUAGUGCACAUACAUAAGCAUCCUAUGUGCACAGCCUCCAACAACAGAGUUGAGAGGGUAGGGAGUUUUAAAUUUAUUACAUUUGUACACACACUGCCUACUGAGACAGGGUUACAACACAAUUACACAGUAGAUGUGUGGAACAGUGAGGGGAGCCACAAAGUAUUAACAGUGAAAGAAUGUAAAGUUGUCAAUUCUGGCUGCCUUGCUUAUCUUUCUUUUAUAUAUAUAAUUUAGUUUUUUUUCAAAAUUCCCAAAAAUACACGUUUGUAUAUAUUGGGAAUAUGUUUAUAUAAAGUAAUAUCUGGAGUUCAAGGAUGUCAUUAGUGUCUUGUUUUUAUUAAUAGGUCUCAAUCAGCAAAUGUUUUGAUGUACUUUCUAUAUUUUUUGCUAGAUAUAUAUGUUGUGAAACUUGAGAAAAUUAAUUGUAUUCGAAAAUCUUGUUAUUUUGUCCGUUUUUCAUUUUUACUGAUCUAAAAAAUGAUCCGAACCGUGAGUUCUGGGAUCCGUUGCACCCCUAAAAUGAUAAACAAAUGAAUGACAGCAGGUGCAUAGAUAAAGGUGCACAUUGUUAUGUCCGUGUAAGCCUGUUCACAGCUUUAUUUCUGCAUCGUCUCGAAGUGUAUUACUAUGCAGGACUGCAUAAAAGUUUCAUUUAGGUCCUGUAGUGACAGUGAGGAAAGUUGGCUCACUACACUACGUCUUUUCCAGGACAUCCCAACUAUCAUGAGAUCUUAAGUCCCCCUCUGAUGAAAUUCUUGUUUUUUGAGUUUUUAACAUGUAUGUGUGUCAUUUUUCUUAUGAACGAGAACAAAUGUAAUAAGAAAUCAUUUUGAUUUUGCAUUUCUGAGUAUCUCUCUGUCAAUCAAACUGCUGCAGAAACGCUGUUUGAAUUAAUGAGGCGUUCUGACCUCACAGCGUGCACAGGCUGUGCAGGAGAAGAAAAUAUGGCAUCUUCUCAUGUCUGUGCUGUAGAGGGCUGCAAUUCAAUGGAAGGCCAAACUGUUCAGUGGUAUUACAAAAUAAACGUUCUAACAAGUGA